rnacentral:rRNA from 1 species
CGCGCAGGCGGCUUUGUAAGUUGGAUGUGAAAUCCUAUGGCUCAACCAUAGAACUGCAUCCAAAACUACUUAGCUAGAGUCUGGGAGGGGAAGAUGGAAUUAGUGGUGUAGGGGUAAAAUCCGUAGAAAUCACUAGGAAUACCAAAAGCGAAGGCGAUCUUCUGGAACAGUACUGACGCUGAGGCGCGAAAGCGUGGGGAGCAAACA